UACGAGGGGGGCAAGCGUUGUUCGGAAUUAUUGGGCGUAAAGGGCGCGUAGGCGGUGCGGUAAGUCUGUUGUGAAAUCUCCGGGCUCAACUCGGAGUCUGCAUCAGAAACUGCCGUGCUCGAGUGUGGGAGAGGUGAGUGGAAUUCCCGGUGUAGCGGUGAAAUGCGUAGAUAUCAGGAGGAACACCAAUUGCGAAGGCAGCUCGCUGGGACGUUACUGACGCUGAGACGCGAAAGCGUGGGGAGCAAACAGG
rnacentral:rRNA from 1 species